rnacentral:lncRNA from 1 species
CUAGUGUUUUCCGACGGAUUAUCUCUGCUUAGUAAGUAUUCUAUAAAUAUUCACUUUACAAUGUUUAAGUCAUUGAAUAUAUGUAAUAUGUAAUGUUAUGCUUGAACAAGUUAUUGAUUGAAAUUUAUGAAAAUGUUAGUUAUGGGUUACUACUUGGGUGUACACUCCAUGUGCUUGACAAAAUGUUUGAAUGAAUUUUAAUGUGGUAUGUCUGUAUGGUUUGAUAUCUGAUCUAUUAUGACCGAUGCGAGCAACCUUAAUGUUAAGUAGGUGAAAAAUUUCUUCAUUGUGGAAGUAGGGUACUUUUUCGAUAAAAUUGUGAUUUAGAGAAAUGGAAAAUGGGAUUUAAUGAGUUUUGGGGAUGGGUUUGGGAAGUUGGCAAUUGUUUAAACUGGUUCGAUAUAAUUGAUAUUUUGUUCUUUCUUUGUUGCAGUCUGGUGUGAAUGGGAUUGGUGAGACCUAGCUGAUCCGGACAAGUAUUUCUUUUACAAUGAUUUUGAAUAUAUCUUACAUUCAUAAAGAAGAAAAUCUCUCCGGAGGUUGAGUCUUUGUGAAGACUGAAAGUCUGAAGAGCAACUAUGGAGAUCACACAUUCUGAUAUCGAUAUCCGCCCAGAAGGUAAAGUUCGAGUUGUCCUUCAUGUUAUUAGUUAUAUAUCAAUAUUGCCAUUUUUUUUUCAAUAAUGACACUAUAUUUAUAUAUUAAACAUCUUACAGAACAACAGAUCAAUUCAAAUUUGAUAUCAUAUGUUUAUGUAUAUAUAGCAAUCAGUUCAAAUCCACUUAUGAUGGACUGAUCCAUGUAUUACUUUUUCCUUUUAUCUGUCCUUCAUGUUUUGCCUCACUCUUAAGCACCUCCUUCGGCUUCUACCAUCACCGUAACAAGGAAAAAAAUUGAAGAGCCAUAUAGACCAAAUGUCGCUGCAGAGAUUACUUGCUUUCAUCCCCAAUCGAAGCCAAUUUUGCCAGCUUAGAAACAAGCAUCCGAUUUAUGUAGCUCAUAUUGGCUAUAUAUAUUGAGUAGACAUUAUUAGUACUAUGAGGAUUUCGUUUGAAUAUAUAAUUCAUAAUCAAGAAUCACAGUGGUGGUGAAUGGUAUAAGCGGAUGUGGAGAUAAGCAGUCUAUAAUAAGCAAGAAGAGAAAACAUAAAAAUGGGUGUGGCUAUGGGAUCUUAUAUCAAAACUGAAAAUAACUUAUUUUCAACUUGUCCUGCUUAAGUUAAUUUUAUUUGACUUUAUGGUUUUCAUUGUUGUUUUAAAUUUGACAAAACAAAUAAAUUAUGUAUAUGUUCCAGAUGUACUCUCCCCUUUACUUUGAUAAAUUACUUUAAAAAGUUCUUGAUUAUUUGAUUUUGAGUUGUUUUUAUGUACAGAGGAAAGAGGAUACACGAUCGCCCCAUUGGGGCGGCCCCAAGCAAGAGAUGGACUAUACCCUAACUGACUCGGUGAAGUUACUAUUUACUGGUUGUUGUCCGAAAUGAUGACUAUGACAGAUCAAGAAAACACAUGCACUCACAUUGAUGAAGCACUGGGAGAUCAUAUCUCUGGAUAGACUUGGAGCCUUCAACAACUUAGAGCUAUAACAGUCAAGCUCUCAUAUGAAACCAGUUUGGCUGGUUGUCAUCCUGGUCGGAUAUGCCCACAGCCCAAGAACAUUUGAACACUUGAUCUACUAGAAAUUGACUACAAAUAGUUUGAAUAUGAUGCACACUUGUAACUAUUUUGUUGCUUCAUGUUUGUGUGGGACUUUAGAGCUGUAUGAGGGUGUUACUGGAAAAGUAAGAUGUAUGAUGAUGGAUAAGGGCAGAAUGGAAACAAUGAAACCAAAAAAUGGGUACAUUUAUAGCAUGCAGGAUGUUUUGAUGUUAUUUUGCUUGAAUUGUGUUUGAUUCUUAUUAUUUGCA